GACGAACGCUGGCGGCGUGCUUAACACAUGCAAGUCGAACGGAAAGGCCCUGCUUUUGUGGGGUGCUCGAGUGGCGAACGGGUGAGUAACACGUGAGUAACCUGACCUUGACUUUGGGAUAGCUUCAGGAAACUGGGGCUAAUACCGGAUAGGAGCUCCUGCUGCAUGGUGGGGGUUGGAAAGUUUCGGCGGUUGGGGAUGGACUCGCGGCUUAUCAGCUUGUUGGUGGGGUAGUGGCUUACCAAGGCUUUGACGGGUAGCCGGCCUGAGAGGGUGACCGGCCACAUUGGGACUGAGAUACGGCCCAGACUCCUACGGGAGGCAGCAGUGGGGAAUAUUGCACAAUGGGCGGAAGCCUGAUGCAGCAACGCCGCGUGCGGGAUGACGGCCUUCGGGUUGUAAACCGCUUUCGCCUGUGACGAAGCGUGAGUGACGGUAAUGGGUAAAGAAGCACCGGCUAACUACGUG
rnacentral:rRNA from 1 species